GGUAUGUGGGCAAAGUUUAUCAAUAAAAACAAAAAUUCCCCCGUAGACGAAACAUACGAAGCGAUAGCACACAGGUUCAAACGCAUAGCGAAUCGUACGUCGUAACAUCGAUGGCGGACAAAGGCCAAGAGUCAAUAAAAGCUGCAGAAUGUCACAAGUGUCCGGCGGCAGCUGGUAUCUGCAAAGCAAUACGUUUUGCCUUAAAAUAUGUGUGACAUAUCGUCAGCUUAGUAUCUUGUUUCACUGGUGGAUACAAGCGUGCUGCAUAUUACCUCUCUCAUGCGGAUUCACCGAAGAAGCAUAGAUCCGGCGCCUACGAAAGUCAGCUGAUACUGGCAAAUAACGAAAGAUAAAGACACUAAAAGCUUAGACUGAAUCAGAAUUGAUGUGACCUGCCCAUGGAUUGCUACAUAGUUUUUCAAAUAUGAGGAAACGACCGCAGGAUCUAACA
rnacentral:lncRNA from 1 species